rnacentral:rRNA from 1 species
CGUUAAUUCGAAGCAACGCGAAGAACCUUACCAGGUCUUGACAUCCCGAUGCUAUUUCUAGAGAUAGAAAGUUACUUCGGUACAUCGGUGACAGGUGGUGCAUGGUUGUCGUCAGCUCGUGUCGUGAGAUGUUGGGUUAAGUCCCGCAACGAGCGCAACCCCUAUUGUUAGUUGCCAUCAUUCAGUUGGGCACUCUAGCGAGACUGCCGGUAAUAAACCGGAGGAAGGUGGGGAUGACGUCAAAUCAUCAUGCCCCUUAUGACCUGGGCUACACACGUGCUACAAUGGUUGGUACAACGAGUUGCGAGUCGGUGACGGCGAGCUAAUCUCUUAAAGCCAAUCUCAGUUCGGAUUGUAGGCUGCAACUCGCCUACAUGAAGUCGGAAUCGCUAGUAAUCGCGGAUCAGCACGCCGCGGUGAAUACGUUCCCGGGCCUU